UACGGAGGAUGCGAGCGUUAUCCGGAUUUAUUGGGUUUAAAGGGUGCGUAGGUGGUGAUUUAAGUCAGCGGUGAAAGUUUGUGGCUCAACCAUAAAAUUGCCGUUGAAACUGGGUUACUUGAGUGUGUUUGAGGUAGGCGGAAUGCGUGGUGUAGCGGUGAAAUGCAUAGAUAUCACGCAGAACUCCGAUUGCGAAGGCAGCUUACUAAACCAUAACUGACACUGAAGCACGAAAGCGUGGGGAUCAAACAGGAUUAGAUACCCCGGUAGUCCGGCUAUGCU
rnacentral:rRNA from 1 species